rnacentral:rRNA from 1 species
AACGAACGCUGGCGGCAUGCCUAACACAUGCAAGUCGAACGAGACCUUCGGGUCUAGUGGCGCACGGGUGCGUAACGCGUGGGAACCUGCCCUUAGGUUCGGAAUAACUCCCCGAAAGGGGUGCUAAUACCGGAUAAUGUCUUCGGACCAAAGAUUUAUCGCCUUUGGAUGGGCCCGCGUUGGAUUAGCUAGUUGGUAGGGUAAAAGCCUACCAAGGCGACGAUCCAUAGCUGGUCUGAGAGGAUGAUCAGCCACACUGGGACUGAGACACGGCCCAGACUCCUACGGGAGGCAGCAGUGGGGAAUAUUGGACAAUGGGCGAAAGCCUGACCCAGCAAUGCCGCGUGAAUGAUGAAGGCCUUAGGGUUGUAAAGCUCUUUUACCCGGGAUGAUAAUGACAGUACCGGGAGAAUAAGCUCCGGCUAACUCCGUG